AGGUAGCUUGCUACCGGACCUAGCGGCGGACGGGUGAGUAAUGCUUAGGAAUCUGCCUAUUAGUGGGGGACAACAUCUCGAAAGGGAUGCUAAUACCGCAUACGUCCUACGGGAGAAAGCAGGGGAUCUUCGGACCUUGCGCUAAUAGAUGAGCCUAAGUCGGAUUAGCUAGUUGGUGGGGUAAAGGCCUACCAAGGCGACGAUCUGUAGCGGGUCUGAGAGGAUGAUCCGCCACACUGGGACUGAGACACGGCCCAGACUCCUACGGGAGGCAGCAGUGGGGAAUAUUGGACAAUGGGGGGAACCCUGAUCCAGCCAUGCCGCGUGUGUGAAGAAGGCCUUAUGGUUGUAAAGCACUUUAAGCGAGGAGGAGGCUACUUUAGUUAAUACCUAGAGAUAGUGGACGUUACUCGCAGAAUAAGCACCGGCUAACUCUGUGCCAGCAGCCGCGGUAAUACAGAGGGUGCGAGCGUUAAUCGGAUUUACUGGGCGUAAAGCGUGCGUAGGCGGCUUAUUAAGUCGGAUGUGAAAUCCCCGAGCUUAACUUGGGAAUUGCAUUCGAUACUGGUGAGCUAGAGUAUGGGAGAGGAUGGUAGAAUUCCAGGUGUAGCGGUGAAAUGCGUAGAGAUCUGGAGGAAUACCGAUGGCGAAGGCAGCCAUCUGGCCUAAUACUGACGCUGAGGUACGAAAGCAUGGGGAGCAAACAGGAUUAGAUACCCUGGUAGUCCAUGCCGUAAACGAUGUCUACUAGCCGUUGGGGCCUUUGAGGCUUUAGUGGCGCAGCUAACGCGAUAAGUAGACCGCCUGGGGAGUACGGUCGCAAGACUAAAACUCAAAUGAAUUGACGGGGGCCCGCACAAGCGGUGGAGCAUGUGGUUUAAUUCGAUGCAACGCGAAGAACCUUACCUGGCCUUGACAUACUAGAAACUUUCCAGAGAUGGAUUGGUGCCUUCGGGAAUCUAGAUACAGGUGCUGCAUGGCUGUCGUCAGCUCGUGUCGUGAGAUGUUGGGUUAAGUCCCGCAACGAGCGCAACCCUUUUCCUUACUUGCCAGCAUUUCGGAUGGGAACUUUAAGGAUACUGCCAGUGACAAACUGGAGGAAGGCGGGGACGACGUCAAGUCAUCAUGGCCCUUACGGCCAGGGCUACACACGUGUUACAAUGGUCGGUACAAAGGGUUGCUACACAGCGAUGUGAUGCUAAUCUCAAAAAGCCGAUCGGUAGGUCCGGAUUGGAGUCUGCAACUCGACUCC
rnacentral:rRNA from 1 species